AAAGAGAAAUAAAGAGGUGCAGUUUGGGUGAGGGAGUUGUGCAAGCCCUGAGCCGGGAUGGGAAGCUAGCGAAGGUGGGCAUACAGAGCCCGCCCUCCAGGGCACCCCCGCACCUCCCAUGGAUCCCCACGGUUUCGGGUGGGCGCCACCUGCGUCUGCCACCGGUCCCCGCGUGCCCCUCCUGGAGGAGAGCGGCACGGGCGUGGGGUGCGGGCGGGGACCGCAGGCCGCGUGGCGCACGCGCGACAAGGAGCCCGGAGUGUAAGGCUGUGCAGGAAACGCAUCCUCCGACCAUCAGGGACCGGCGCUGAGCAUCGGACACGCGGCUAAGCCGACGCGGAGCAUCUCGUGGACGGAGGAACGGGCCCGGACCCGGCACUCACCAGAAGAACACGCGCGAGCAGAGGUUGGCGUCCUGCAGCGGGUUGGGUUUCACCUCGGUGUGCACCGGCAGCAUCUCGCCCGCGGUGCGCGCGGCCGGGCGGCGGCUCCGGGAAGCGCGGGUGAGGAUGCUCGAGCUCCGGCCUCGGCCGGAGCCUCGCAGGCAAGCAGCGGCUUCCGGGAACCAAGCGCCGGCCCGCCCUGACCCCGCCUCUCGGGGCUCCUCGGGGCGCCCGCUACGCGCUGUCGCCGCCGCCUCCUCGAGCCUGGGAGAAGCGUGUCGCGUGAGAGCGCAGGGGGACGGCCGCUGGGGAAACGACAGAGACCAACCGCGCGCAGGUGACCGGGGGCGGCUCGGGGAACGCGGAGCCGGGCGGGGAAGCCGCACGUGCUUGAGACCCGUUGCAAACUUUGCCGAAGUUUAAGAUCAGCACCCAAGCACCACCCUGAAGGUGGCGGGGGCGGUACCGGCUGUGCCCGCCCCCGCGCUCGGAAACGCCCCCUAGGCUUUGCGCUCCUGGAGAUCUGGUGAAAGCCGCCUGGCUUUGCCUGCGGUCCCCUGGCAUGCUGCCCUCAUCAGGACCAAAUAGGGUGCUGUGGGAGAUUGUUCCACCUGCAGGCCAAGAGUCGGACCUGGAACAACAGCAAGGUUUAUCAGAUUGCCUUUGCAGACCUUAAAGCCGUGAAGACCGUCAGGCCACCCGAUAUUAGGACACAAGGAUUUGGGGAGAUGAAUAGAGUGCUACCAUUUCGGACGGCUUCUUGACCUUUCCUACAUUGCUUGGCAUGGCGGACCUGUGUAAGCAGUUGGCUGUCCUCUUAGAUUAGGUAAGGGAAAUCAGAUAAUACGCUGCCUGGCAUGUUUCUUUCACGGAGCCCUGAGAGGCUCCCAGAGGAUCCGUGGCAAAGGGAACCGAUGUUACAGGACACCUUGCUGUGCCUUUCUAUAAGCCUACUCCGCUUCUAAUUUACUUUUCGAAAUGGUUAUUACUAUUUUACUGAAUAAAUUCAGACUC
rnacentral:lncRNA from 1 species